AAAAUUCACAAGAGAUCGAUGGGCAAAGAGUUCCACCACCAGCCACAUUUUUUCUUGCACAUCUUCAUCAUCCACCUCUCACGCUGCCGCCAAGAGGGUGAACCCAAGGGCAUCAGCACUAUAUGGAGAACCAAGGCCUAGGAACAUCCCAUGAGAGAAGGUGGAGCAUCAGCGGAAGCCGCAACCACAACACCAGGUGCUAGGUCUACCACUGGGUAUCCAUACUCUCUUCCCAAAUUCACAUCCACUUCAAAUGGAGGAGGUAUAUGAAGAAAAUUAUAUACCUAUUGAAAAUAGGAAGGGUAUAAUUAAUCAAUUGGAUAUGUAUAUGUAGUAUAUAUAUAUAGCAUAAAGUUAAUUAUCCAUUGGAUAUUAGUGGGUUUGGGGAGGGUAAGGAGUGGAUAAUAAUUAUUUGGAUUUGGACGUGAACAAGAGUGAAUUUGUCCAUACCCUCUUAGUGGCAGGUCUACCAGGUGCUGCAGGGCGUAAGGUACCAGUGCACUUGUUUGCCUUGAGAUUUCGUCCCGACAAUCGUUACCGUAAGCCAUGUCUUUAACGGGGUAAUUUCUUUAUUCGUACCAUGGAUGGA
rnacentral:lncRNA from 1 species